CUUUCGGAGAGUUUGAUCCUGGCUCAGAGUGAACGCUGGCGGCGUGGAUUAGGCAUGCAUGUCGAGCGAUCUCGCAAGGGAUAGCGGCAAACGGGUUAGGAACACGUAGAUAAUCUUCCUUAUAUUCUGACAUAGCCCUAUGAAAAUAGGGGUAAUAUCAGAUACCAUGCUGAAAGGGCAUCCUUUUAGUAUUAAAGUAGGGGACCGCAAGGCCUUACGAUAUAAGAUGAGUCUGCGUAGCAUCAGCUAGUUGGUAGGGUAACGGCCUACCAAGGCUAAGACGCUUAGCUGGUCUGAGAGGACGAUCAGCAACACUGGGACUGAGACACUGCCCAGACUCCUACGGGAGGCUGCAGUCGAGAAUAUUUAGCAAUGGGCGAAAGCCUGACUAUGCGACGCCGCGUGAGGGAUGAAGGAUUUCGGUUCGUAAACCUCUUUUGGCAGGGAAGAAAAUG
rnacentral:rRNA from 1 species